rfam:Oryza barthii chromosome 6, whole genome shotgun sequence.
UUUAAGUGCAGCUGCGUGUUUCUGUGUCUAACGUUUGAUCGUCCAUCUUAUUAGAAAAUAUUUUUAUGAUUAAUAUUUUUAUUGUUAUUAGAUGAUAAAAUAUGAAUAGUACUUUAUGUGUGGUUUUUUAAAUUUUUUUAUAAAUUUUUAAAUAAAACGAAUGAUUAAAUGUUGGACACGAAAAUAUAUAACUACACUUGAA